rnacentral:rRNA from 1 species
GGGUUGUGAGGUUAAGCGACUAAGCGUACACGGUGGAUGCCCUGGCAGUCAGAGGCGAUGAAGGACGUGCUAAUCUGCGAAAAGCGUCGGUAAGGUGAUAUGAACCGUUACAGCCGGCGAUGUCCGAAUGGGGAAACCCAGUGCAAUUCGUUGCACUAUCGUUAACUGAAUACAUAGGUUAACGAGGCGAACCGGGGGAACUGAAACAUCUAAGUACCCCGAGGAAAAGAAAUCAACCGAGAUUCCCCCAGUAGCGGCGAGCGAACGGGGAGCAGCCCAGAGUCUGAAUCAGCUUGUGUGUUAGUGGAACGGUCUGGAAAGUCCGACGGUACAGGGUGAUAGUCCCGUACACCAAAAUGCACAGGUUGUGAACUCGAAGAGUAGGGCGGGACACGUGGUAUCCUGUCUGAAUAUGGGGGGACCAUCCUCCAAGGCUAAAUACUCCUGACUGACCGAUAGUGAACCAGUACCGUGAGGGAAAGGCGAAAAGAACCCCGGCGAGGGGAGUGAAAAAGAACCUGAAACCGUGUACGUACAAGCAGUGGGAGCACCUUCGGGUGUGACUGCGUACCUUUUGUAUAAUGGGUCAGCGACUUAUAUUCUGUAGCAAGGUUAACCGUAUAGGGGAGCCGCAGGGAAACCGAGUCUUAACUGGGCGUUAAGUUGCAGGGUAUAGACCCGAAACCCGGUGAUCUAGCCAUGGGCAGGUUGAAGGUUGGGUAACACUAACUGGAGGACCGAACCGACUAAUGUUGAAAAAUUAGCGGAUGACUUGUGGCUGGGGGUGAAAGGCCAAUCAAACCGGGAGAUAGCUGGUUCUCCCCGAAAGCUAUUUAGGUAGCGCCUCGUGAAUUCAUCUUCGGGGGUAGAGCACUGUUUCGGCUAGGGGGUCAUCCCGACUUACCAACCCGAUGCAAACUACGAAUACCGAAGAAUGUUAUCACGGGAGACACACGGCGGGUGCUAACGUCCGUCGUGAAGAGGGAAACAACCCAGACCGCCAGCUAAGGUCCCAAAGUCAUGGUUAAGUGGGAAACGAUGUGGGAAGGCACAGACAGCCAGGAUGUUGGCUUAGAAGCAGCCAUCAUUUAAAGAAAGCGUAAUAGCUCACUGGUCGAGUCGGCCUGCGCGGAAGAUGUAACGGGGCUAAACCAUGCACCGAAGCUGCGGCAGCGACACUAUGUGUUGUUGGGUAGGGGAGCGUUCUGUAAGCCUGCGAAGGUGUGCUGUGAGGCAUGCUGGAGGUAUCAGAAGUGCGAAUGCUGACAUAAGUAACGAUAAAGCGGGUGAAAAGCCCGCUCGCCGGAAGACCAAGGGUUCCUGUCCAACGUUAAUCGGGGCAGGGUGAGUCGACCCCUAAGGCGAGGCCGAAAGGCGUAGUCGAUGGGAAACAGGUUAAUAUUCCUGUACUUGGUGUUACUGCGAAGGGGGGACGGAGAAGGCUAUGUUAGCCGGGCGACGGUUGUCCCGGUUUAAGCAUGUAGGCUGGUUGUCCAGGCAAAUCCGGAUAAUCAAGGCUGAGGUGUGAUGACGAGGCACUACGGUGCUGAAGUAACAAAUGCCCUGCUUCCAGGAAAAGCCUCUAAGCAUCAGGUAACAUCAAAUCGUACCCCAAACCGACACAGGUGGUCAGGUAGAGAAUACCAAGGCGCUUGAGAGAACUCGGGUGAAGGAACUAGGCAAAAUGGUGCCGUAACUUCGGGAGAAGGCACGCUGGUGUGUAGGUGAAGUCCCUGCGGAUGGAGCUGAGACCAGUCGAAGAUACCAGCUGGCUGCAACUGUUUAUUAAAAACACAGCACUGUGCAAACACGAAAGUGGACGUAUACGGUGUGACGCCUGCCCGGUGCCGGAAGGUUAAUUGAUGGGGUUAUCCGUAAGGAGAAGCUCUUGAUCGAAGCCCCGGUAAACGGCGGCCGUAACUAUAACGGUCCUAAGGUAGCGAAAUUCCUUGUCGGGUAAGUUCCGACCUGCACGAAUGGCGUAAUGAUGGCCAGGCUGUCUCCACCCGAGACUCAGUGAAAUUGAACUCGCUGUGAAGAUGCAGUGUACCCGCGGCAAGACGGAAAGACCCCGUGAACCUUUACUAUAGCUUGACACUGAACAUUGAGCCUUGAUGUGUAGGAUAGGUGGGAGGCUUUGAAGCGUGGACGCCAGUCUGCGUGGAGCCAACCUUGAAAUACCACCCUUUAAUGUUUGAUGUUCUAACGUUGGCCCCUGACCGGGGUUGCGGACAGUGUCUGGUGGGUAGUUUGACUGGGGCGGUCUCCUCCCAAAGCGUAACGGAGGAGCACGAAGGUUAGCUAAUCCUGGUCGGACAUCAGGAGGUUAGUGCAAUGGCAUAAGCUAGCUUGACUGCGAGCGUGACGGCGCGAGCAGGUGCGAAAGCAGGUCAUAGUGAUCCGGUGGUUCUGAAUGGAAGGGCCAUCGCUCAACGGAUAAAAGGUACUCCGGGGAUAACAGGCUGAUACCGCCCAAGAGUUCAUAUCGACGGCGGUGUUUGGCACCUCGAUGUCGGCUCAUCACAUCCUGGGGCUGAAGUAGGUCCCAAGGGUAUGGCUGUUCGCCAUUUAAAGUGGUACGCGAGCUGGGUUUAGAACGUCGUGAGACAGUUCGGUCCCUAUCUGCCGUGGGCGCUGGAGAAUUGAGGGGGGCUGCUCCUAGUACGAGAGGACCGGAGUGGACGCAUCACUGGUGUUCGGGUUGUCAUGCCAAUGGCACUGCCCGGUAGCUAAAUGCGGAAGAGAUAAGUGCUGAAAGCAUCUAAGCACGAAACUUGCCCCGAGAUGAGUUCUCCCUGAGACUUUAAGUCUCCUGAAGGAACGUUGAAGACGACGACGUUGAUAGGCCGGGUGUGUAAGCGCAGCGAUGCGUUGAGCUAACCGGUACUAAUGAACCGUGAGGCUUAACCUUACAACGCCGAAG